rnacentral:rRNA from 1 species
ACUCAAAGGAAUUGACGGGGGCUUGCACAAGCGGUGGAGCGUGUGGCUUAAUUCGUCGCUAAGCGAAGAACCUUACCAAGGCUAGAAAUCCUACUGCACGCCUAGCGAAAGCUAGGAAGCCUUCGAGGGUGUAGGACAGGUGAUGCAUGGCUGUCGUCAGUUCGUGGUUUGAACCGUUCCCUUCAGUGGGGUAACGAACGCAACCCUCGUUGCCUGUUAUACGUGUCAGGCGAGACUGCCCCCUCACGGGGGAGGAAGGUGAGGAUGACGCCAAGUCAGCAUGUCCCUCUGAUGCCUUGGGCUGCACACGCGCUACAAUCGCCACUACAACGGGGCGCGACGCCGUAAGGCUGAGCAAAUCCUUCAAAAGUGGCGCCAGUUCGGAUUGAGGUCUGCAACUCGACCUCAUGAAGCCGGAAUCGCUAGUAAUCGCGGGUCAGCUACACCGCGGUGAAUACGUUCUCAAGCCUUGUACACACCGCCCGU